UACAGAGGGGGCAAGCGUUGUUCGGAAUUACUGGGCGUAAAGGGCGCGUAGGCGGCCUUCUAAGUCGAACGUGAAAUCCCCGGGCUCAACCCGGGAACUGCGUCCGAUACUGGAAGGCUUGAAUCCGGGAGAGGGAUGCGGAAUUCCAGGUGUAGCGGUGAAAUGCGUAGAUAUCUGGAGGAACACCGGUGGCGAAGGCGGCAUCCUGGACAGGCAUUGACGCUGAGGCGCGAAAGCCAGGGGAGCAAACGGG
rnacentral:rRNA from 1 species